UCUUCGGCUCCCCCUUUUCUCUCCCCCAUUUUUAUCCCCCCUUCUCCACAACCACCACCUCUUCCACCAUUCCUCUCCUAACCUCACCGUCAUCUUCCUCCUCCUUAUCUUGCACCCCAACCCAAACCCAAACCCCCACCCUCAUCCUCCUUAUCUUACACCCUAGCAACAACACCACCACUAGUCGUUGCUCGGUACUUUAUUCCUCAGUCCAUGGCCCAACAACUCCCACCACACUCUCACUCACUCUGAGCUAUGCACGUCACCGGUUCCUCACCUACUUUUCUCGACAAACUCGUCAGAUGACUCGACUUCGUGGUCGUCUCGAUCUACUCACCGGCUGGUUCACCCAGUUCAUCCAGCUCCGAGACAUUACCCGUAUUGACAUCUCUGGUUCCGUGUUCCUCGGGUUUUGGAUCUGUCGUCUUCAAUUCGUCAAACGACCGGCCAUCACGCGACUGCAUGAGGGUGUUGCAGGUGCAGAAGCCAGGUAUUUGUCUACCACGCGCUGCGACUGCACGAGGAUCGAUUGCACCUUCUUCGAGCCAAUGGUGGUGGUGCGGUUGCUGGGGUGUAGGAUAAGGAGGAGGAGGGUGGGGGUUAUGAUGGAUGUGCAGAGGUUGCGGUCAAUUUUUCGAGAUUUGCUGUCAAAUCUGCAGGGAGAGUGAGAAAAAGUGAUUAACAGUGGGGGAAUAUGGGGGGUGGAGGAAGGUGGUGGUUGCGUACAGAGAAACGGGGCCAUCAAAGAGGAUGAGGGUUGAGUGGGUGGAGUUGAAGAGGGUGGGGGAAGGAUGGAUGUGCAGAGGUUAGGUAGGUGCAAAGAAGAGAAGGGAGAGAGAAGGGAU
rnacentral:lncRNA from 1 species